rnacentral:rRNA from 1 species
UCAGUAACACGUAGUCAACAUGCCAGAGGACGUGAUAACCUCGGGAAACUGAGGAUAAACCGCGAUAGGUCACUACUUCUGGAAUGGGUAAUGACCCAAACCUAUAUGGCCCCUGGAUUGGACUGCGGCCGAUCAGGCUGUUGGUGAGGUAAUGGCCCACCAAACCUGUAACCGGUACGGGCUCUGAGAGGAGGAGCCCGGAGAUGGGCACUGAGACAAGGGCCCAGGCCCUAUGGGGCGCAGCAGGCGCGAAAACCUCUGCAAUAGGCGAAAGCUUGACAGGGUUACUCUGAGUGAUUUCCGUUAAGGAGAUCUUAUGGCACCUCUAAAAAUGGUGCAGAAUAAGGGGUGGGCACGUCUGGUGCCA